UGGCAUGUAGAGGCGAUGAAGGACGUAGCACGCUGCGAUAAGCCAUGGGGAGAUGCGAGCAAUCUUUGAUCCGUGGAUUUCCGAAUGGGGAAACCCGGCCCAUUGGGUCAUCUCUUGCUGAAUACAUAGGCAAGCGAAGCAAACCCGGCGAACUGAAACAUCUAAGUAGCCGGAGGAAAGGACAUCAACCGAGACUCCGUUAGUAGUGGCGAGCGAACGCGGACCAGGCCAGUGGCCAUUGGAUAAGAACCGGAAUCGUCUGGAAAGGCGAGCCAUAGUGGGUGAUAGCCCCGUACGGGUAGAAAGCAUUUUUGUCCUCGAGUAGGGCGGGACACG
rnacentral:rRNA from 14 species